GUGGGGAAUAUUGGGCAAUGGGCGCAAGCCUGACCCAGCAACGCCGCGUGAAGGAAGAAGGCUUUCGGGUUGUAAACUUCUUUUACCAGGGACGAAACAAAUGACGGUACCUGGUGAAUAAGCCACGGCUAACUACGUGCCAGCAGCCGCGGUAAUACGUAGGUGGCGAGCGUUAUCCGGAUUUAUUGGGUGUAAAGGGCGUGUAGGCGGGACAGCAAGUCAGAUGUGAAAACCAGAGGCUCAACCUCUGGCCUGCAUUUGAAACUGUUGUUCUUGAGGGUCGGAGAGGUAAUCGGAAUUCCGUGUGUAGCGGUGAAAUGCGUAGAUAUACGGAGGAACACCAGUGGCGAAGGCGGAUUACUGGACGAUAACUGACGCUGAGGCGCGAAAGCGUGGGGAGCAAACAGGAUUAGAUACCCUAGUAGUCC
rnacentral:rRNA from 1 species